UACGUAGGGUGCAAGCGUUGUCCGGAAUUAUUGGGCGUAAAGAGCUCGUAGGCGGUCUGUCGCGUCGGCUGUGAAAACUCGGGGCUCAACUCCGAGCUUGCAGUCGAUACGGGCAGGCUAGAGUUCGGCAGGGGAGACUGGAAUUCCUGGUGUAGCGGUGAAAUGCGCAGAUAUCAGGAGGAACACCGGUGGCGAAGGCGGGUCUCUGGGCCGUAACUGACGCUGAGGAGCGAAAGCAUGGGGAGCGAACAGG
rnacentral:rRNA from 1 species